rnacentral:lncRNA from 1 species
AUGGCCGCCCCAAUUGGCAGCGCGCUCCAGCCAAUGGCGGAGGCGAGCGCUUCCUGCUGGCCAAUGGCGGCGGAGCCCGGCGGGGGGCAGCGGGCCGGCCGAGCUUGCCUCCAGCGGGGCGCGCCUGCCCGCAGGCCAAUGGCGGCGCCGGAGGAGCGGCGGGGCAGCGCGCCCGCGGCGCCCGGCGGGUUGGGGGGGGGGGGGGAGUGGUUGCCGUGGCAACCGCAGGCCUGGUGGCGACGACCCACCCUGACACCCGCCGCCCCUCGCCCAGCCCGGGACGCGACGCGGUACCUGGGGCCGAGCGGCAGAGCUCCGCCUCCUCCGUCCUCCAGCGGCGGGGCGGUGUCCUGUGCCGGCGGGGCUGCCGCCUCUGCCCCGCCUCCCGCUGCCGCCCGCCCCGCCGGGCAGCGGCCUGCGACCUGUGACGGACUGGGGGUAGGGUGUGCCGCGCGGCUGCUGCGGCUGGAGGUGGAUGUUGAAGGUGCCCCGGUGGCUUGCACUCUGCCCAUGGGAACCCCUCGGAGUUCGCAGAGCGGUGCUGUGGGACGGGGGUGCUGCAGUGAUCCACAUACUUAUGGACGAUCUGCAUGCCUCCAUGGAGAUAUCCAGAGGGAAGAUGUCAGCUGAGGAUGUGGUGCAGGAUACUGGCCGUGAAGAAAAGCCUCCCAGAAUGUGACGGAACAGCAAGGCGUUCAGAAAACUUGGAAUGAGUGAGAUACAAUUCUGGAGAAGAAACUGUCCUUUCAUGGAGCUCUUCAAACUUAUAAAACUCACCUCCGGCCAAAGGCAGCAGGCACUUUCAUAGAAUGAUAGUCCCUGUGUAAAGGCUUCAUAAAGGGAAUGUUUUAAAAUAAGUAAAUAAAUUGCCCAACUGACAUUAAAAAAAGAAAGAA